CAACUGGAGAGUUUGAUCCUGGCUCAGAACGAACGUUAGCGGCGCGCUUAACACAUGCAAGUCGCACGAGAAAGGGCUUCGGCCCCGGUAAAGUGGCGCACGGGUGAGUAACACGUGGGUAAUCUGCCCUCGAGCGGGGGAUAACAUUCCGAAAGGGAUGCUAAUACCGCAUAAGACCACAGCCUCGAAAGAGGCAGCGGUCAAAGCAGGCCUCUGUAUACAAGCUUGCACUUGAGGAUGAGCCCGCGGCCCAUCAGCUAGUUGGCAGGGUAACGGCCUACCAAGGCGACG
rnacentral:rRNA from 1 species